rnacentral:tRNA from 2 species
AGUAAGGUGGCCGAGGUAGGUAUUAAUUUCUUAAAUUAAUUAGGAGGGGG